AUCACCUUUGUUGGUUUGGGUCUCUCUGACCUUGGAUGAUAUGGGAAAGAGGCCAGUGGGUGAAAUUGGGAGGCUGAGCUGUGAUAUGUCACAAUCCGGCUUAGGGUGGGACACUUUGUCCCCAAAGAGGGAGGGUGACUUCCUACCACACCCAGCCACAGCACAGCCUUUCCCGGGACAACAGGCCCUCCCCUUCUCCCCAUCUAACUCUAAAAAUAUAUGCCACGUACGAUGGCCCAGUUGCCUUCGGAGGUAAUCCAAACCUGGCCAAGAAGCUAACACUCAAUUCUUUGUCUACUGCUUCAGGAAGUCUUAACUCCCUUUAGGAUAGCUGGGUUUUGGAGACUUUCUGGGGGGUGAGUGGAAAGUAUAAAAGCAUACUUUCAGAGGUUUGCUCACUAAACAGUGUUUUGCUGAAAACUCACAAUGAUUCCAGCGGCAACUGACUGAAAUCGUACCCUCAAAUCGAUGUUCGCUAAUCCAGAAAUCUUGUAAAUAUGAUAUGUUUCUCUCAAACAUUUCAAACUGGAAGUGACUCUAUCACAUUUGCCUGGUCAGACAAAACACCCGGCGGCCUCAGCCAGCUCCCAAAGGGAGACGAAAGGGAGACGACGGCCUGCACGAGCGCAUGGGACAAACCCAGCAGGAUGCCUGGUGUGUUCUGGAAGGAGUGAGAGCCUGAGCCGUAGAAGGGAGAGCCAGAAUGAGGUCUUCCUGUCUCUGCUUCCUGUGAUGGCCCAUCAUAGCGCCUGUGACACUGCUUCCAGGUGCUGACUUUCUCUCCUGCGCCAGUCAGUGGACCGUGUGCUACUUACGUGCAGGAAGCAGGUCAAAAGGGCAGAACUUCCUGUCUGAAUUUUAAAGCCUCUGUCGCCUUGAUUUUGUUCCUGGCUCAGUGGAGAUGAAUUCCAAGUUGAAGACAAACAAUUGUGCCUUGUGAACAGUCACCGUGUGUUGAAAAGACCCCAAGUGCUUUUUUUGCAAACCUGUCUCGGAAAAUUCCCAGUGGGGGAAGGCAGGAGGGUCAAAUCCAUCCUGGAAGAAGGAGCUCCGAUUGCUCUGAGAAUGUAAUUUUCUAAGUAAAUUUAUAAAAGUCAAAAAGAUCUAAUAAGAACAGCGGAGCAAAGUUGAUCACAAAGAGGGAAAUAGCGUUCCAGAAAACAAAAACUCCCCGAGCUGCAAUAUUUCUUGAUAUUAGAAGAGUUGCUCACAUACCAUCA